AUCGAACGCUAGCGGGAUGCUUUACACAUGCAAGUCGAACGAGUGGCGGACGGGUGAGUAAUAUAUCGGAACGUGCCCAGUAGCGGGGGAUAACUACUCGAAAGAGUGGCUAAUACCGCAUACUUGUGGAUGGGCCGUUAACGGAGUAGCUUGUUGGUGGGGUAAAGGCCUAACAAGGGAACGAUCCGUAGCUGGUUUGAGAGGACGACCAGCCACACUGGGACUGAGACACGGCCCAGACUCCUACGGGAGGCAGCAGGGGGGAAUUGUGGACAAUGGGGGAAACCCUGAUCCAGCCAUCCCGCGUGUAUGAGAAGGCCUUCGGGUUGUAAAGUACUUUUGGCAGAGAAGCGGUAUCUGCAGAAUAAGCACCGGCUAACUACGUGCCAGCCGCCGCGGUAAUAC
rnacentral:rRNA from 1 species